rnacentral:lncRNA from 1 species
UUUUAGAAAUUAUUGGAUUAAAAUAUGUGUCUACAUUCAGAAGCUAGUAAAUGGUUUGCCGAUUAUAAAACAUUGCGAUAAAAUAGUAAUCAUUAACAUAGUAAAAAACUAAAAACUCAGAUCAGUAACUUUAUGAUGUUUCGACCUAGACCCAGUCUUCCUGGUCCUCGAACUUCCCAUGAUGCACAUCAGUCUUGUUCCUUCGCCUGCACGUGGAACACAAGACAAGAUGGAGUGAAGCAGUUUCAGUGCUGAAAUUUUGGCAAUUUUAAACCGCCAAGAANUAAAUUGCAGCCAUGAUCUAAACCAAGUCCUAUCAGCAAAGAAGACCAGCAGAAUCCACUUAAUCUAAUUAACUAUUAAACCUUAAGGUAGUAAUAAUAUUAAUGUAUCAUCUACAUACAANUGAAUGUUGUAUGUAGAUAUUAUUCACCACUUUAAGACCUAUUAAAUAUCAAAGUAUUAGAAAUUAAAGGUUGUGGAAUCUUUUUAUUACUAAUAAAAAGUGNCCACAUCACUUUAAUUUUAUUGAAUGCUGAUAAAUUAUGCACAUAUCACCUGGACGAGAUGACUGGCUGGCCUGGAAUCAACUCUUCAUUACUAACAUUUAUUUUUUUGCUGUUAUUGAACAUUUGAUGAAUUCAAUUGAUAUNAAUUAUGUAUGCAUGUGACAAAGCUUUUUUCUAAAUUUUGUACAGUUUAAAAAUGCUCUAAAAGGUUUUCUGCUCUCGUUUUUCAAUACAUUUUCAGGUAAUUUAAUUAUUUCAUUCAUUGAUACGUCAUCCGAAAUUUAUAGAACUGCACUUGAGAAUUUGACUGAUUGAUUACAAAUUAUCAUUAUGUAAAAAAAAAAUCGGAUUAAUUCAUUACAAAUUAUUAUUUUCUUAAAAUUUAUCAUUUUUGGUUGAUGUGCAGAAUUCAGAAAAAAUCUUUUUCACCAUGAAUUGCUCUUUUUUGAAAUGCAUUGAUUGAUUCCAUUGAUAUCAUUUUCUUGUUUGGUUCAGUAGACUUUCACUUCAUUGGGGUCCAAAAUUAAGUUUAUUUUUGUUUCCAAGCAAUAUUGGUUCAAUGAACAUGCAUAAAUUAUUCAUUUAUCUCUUCCCUCACAAUACAAAUACUAAAAUGUUUUUUCAAAGAUGUUUGGAGCAUUAAAGUUAGAGUCUACUGCAGCUUUGAUAUUAUAAUUUUUGUUGCUUUGAUAAUGUUUUUAAUCAUUAUGAUUAUUAUGAUUCAAAUCCCUGGUAUAAUGUUGUACAUGGUUCUGGAUAUAAAGUAAGUACAGUGCAUAGUUNAUCAGCAUUCAAAGCCAUUAGUUAUCUUUCUCUGAUGUCCUUCAUGUGUAAGCAAACCAAAUUUUAACUUUAUCAAACCAUAAAAAAUACUUUGGUUUUAUUUUAGUUGAUGAAUAAUCUACUCAAAGGUUGAGUCGAAAAAAAGCUCAUUUUAAAAGCUUGGUUUUAAAUUUAUGAUUUUUUACUUUCAAUUUUCAAUUUACAUUCAAAUCUUUUGUCUAAUUUCCAAUUUUUAUGGAGGCUGGAAAGUGUUUUGUGUCUUUACCAAUGAUCAAAAUUAUGAACUAAAAAAAAAUUAAUUUGGCUAUA